GUCGUAGAUAAUGAGAUGUGGCCUUCGAUGGGGUCGAUGUAUGAGCUUAUGAGAAUUAUGAGAGAGGGGAUAAUGACUGCAAUCCCCACUUCGUAUCAGUGGGUGAUCAAUAUCAUCGAUCGUCGAUGGACUGGGACUCUUGAGCAUCCACUCCACCAAGCUGCAUACUACCUGAAUCCCAAAUUUCAUUAUAAACGUCAGCUCCAUGAGAAUCGAGAUUUAACGAUGGUCGUUCACGAGGCGUUUGAACGAUUGUUCCCAGAAUUGACAGCGCAAGCAGAUUUCGAUAACCAGGUAAUGCAAUAAAAUUUAUUCCUUAUAGCCUGUAGAAAUAUGAGUGAUUAAAAAUAAUGACUUGUGAAUCCGUGUUUACAGUUGUUGCGGUUUAGGGAUGCGAGGGGUACGUUCUCAUCCGCACUAGCAAAAGCAUCGACUGAAACAAUGAUGUCGUGUGAGUGGUGGGCGAUGUACGGAGUCGACACGCCCGCACUGCAGUUAUUGGCAGUCCGUGUUCUCGCACAGACUGUAUCCUUCUCACCUUUUGAGAGGAAUUGGAGCACAUGGUCACUCAUACACACCAGCAAGAGGAAAAGACUAGCAUAUGAGAAGCUGCAAAAGCUCGUUUAUUGCCAUUAUAAUAUGAAGUUAAGAGAGAGACAGUUGCGGGUAGACCGAGACAUGGAG